GUCGUCCCAAAAAAGACAGAGCUUCCAGACAGCAACUCUGGCUUCCUUAAAAAAUGAUUCUCAUUUCUGAAAACGCGGAGUACCUACUAAGUGCCAGUGCCACUGCCAGCGCCGAAAGAUCCCUGGAAUUCCCACACAGCUCCUCCCUCCCAGAGCUCUCGGUGUAGCUAGGGAGGUAGGGAAGCGCUCCCGUGACUCAGCCCCGGCACGAUGUGGAAAUGAAGUUUAAACAAGGGGCACCUAAGAACAGAGAGAUUAAUUCUGCUUUGAGAGGAAACUAGGGCCAGAAGAGGGCAAACGCAAUGUCAAAUCAGUUUCAGAAGCAUCUGCCAUAUAUGACAUUUAGGAGUAAAGAGCCCUGCCUGAGCCUCCUCCCCGUGGAUUUUCCUGCUGUGUUCGCACUGUGUGCUGUGCUGCCAUGGGUGUUUCUCCCAUCGACCCGCUCAUCGCACCGCCCGUGAGUUGUCCUUCAUGGUCGCACUGCAGCCUCAGGAGCUUUACAAUGUCUGGGACACAGUAGAGGUCAAUGAAGUUCUGUUGAGCAAUUCCAGUGACCUACAACAUUUGGAUAGGAGUCGCCUGCUUGUUGCUUGAUUUCUUGUUUGUUCUCACCCCAGAAGUCAACUCUUAGCAAAAGUGAUGAACGGCAAAUGUACGCCUGUAAUCAGGGGUCAUUCUGGACAUGUGUGUGUGUGUGUGUGCACGCAAAAUUUUAAGCGGAAGCAUCCUGAAUUGUAUUUUGAGCAACUUAUGACAUCACUUGAAAUUACAAGAAGCACCAUGGGAUAUAACAAGUCCAGGCUGGGAAUCUCUACAAUCCUCCUUGACUUUGGUUAAGACCUUGUAAGAGCACCUUAGCCACCAUCUUUGAAGCAUGGUAGAAGGCCCAUCCUCAUGUUUUUCUUUUUCCCCUAGGUUGAAACAUUUAAGUAACUGAAUAUGUAAUUUUUUGCAGACCCCACUCCAAACGAGACAUUGAAACAAAAUUCACAUGAUGUCCACAUGCCAGUACAUGUCACACAGCUGCUCUUGGCUAUUUAUGGAUGUGAGAUAUUACCUCCAGAGUUAGACUGGAAGUGAACUGAGUCAUAAAUUGUUAUCGAAGAAAGCGUGCACUUGCAUCUCUGGAAAUUAAUAUUAACAGGCAAAGGCUUCCCAAGCCUGUUCCAGCUGGAGUCGCCAUCCCCUGACAAGUCUUGUCCACUAGCUUCGUGUGGCUCGAUUAUAACUUGGUUUGGGAGCCUUCUUCAGAUUUGCAUGUGUUUGAUUGUAAAUGGAGAUCUAACAGCGAACACUUUUUGCUGGUCUAACAGACAUAUGAAGGCACUUCUUGCCAGACCGCAGGGUGCAGGGCUUUGCUGAGAAAACCUGCAAACAAAUCUCAUAAAGCUCAUGGCUCCCGAGGCCACCUAGAGUCCCCGUCUUCAUCUUUUUCAACCUCCUCCCAACACUAAACUCUUACUGAGCACCUACUCUGUGCUGUCACUAUAGAGAGACAGAUGAAUGAGACAGCGGCCUCUCAAUCUCUGGGGAAUUGAGGUGUAAAUACAGUAUUUUUUGAAGGGGCCCCCUGAGGUAACUCAAGCAAAACGAAUGCUUCUUUUUGUAAAGACUGGGGCUUCCAGGCAGCUGGGCAGGCGAGAGCAGCUGGAGAUGCAGAGCAGAGGGGAGAAGAGGCUCCCGGCCUGGGUGCGGUGUUGAGAGGGAGGGCAGAGAGAGGCCGGGCCUGACUGGUUUCAGGAGCUAAUGAGUCACAGCCAUCAGUCAGUCAAUCGUGGCCCAGGAAACGCUGCCUCUUUAAAUACCCUGGAGGGGCCAGAUGGAGCCAGAAGAACCUGACCUGGAGAUGGGCCCUGCCCCAACUCAUGGUGACCUUGGCAAUGUCCCUUGCACUCAUUUAACUCCAG
rnacentral:lncRNA from 1 species